rnacentral:lncRNA from 1 species
ACAACAGGAACUCCUCUGUCUUGUGUGUCUUUUUGACUUUUUUUUUUUUUUUUACUUUUGCAAAGUGACAUUUAAUUCACUUCAGUAAUUCAAAUUGCCAGGGUCUUAAGUCUGCAAAUUUUUCACUUUUGCAUGGAUUAUAAAUUUCAGAACAAACCUUGAAAAUUUUACAAUUAUGAUAUCUACAACUAAAAUCAGAAAACUUGUAAUAAAAUGGCUGCACUUUACACUCGGUGACUUUACAUAGAGUGCAUUGAAUGGCAUAAUUUUUGUAAUAAAAUAUUCAUGUGUAAGCUCCAUUUUGAAUAUAUCUCCUAUGGAAUUUCUUAGUAUAUUGUUGCUUUUAAAUUAUGCACAGAAACAAGAGGAAAGAGUAGCACAAAAACCUCUGAAAAAGAGAACUUCAAGAAUAAGUAGUUAUUGCUGGAAGCUAGGGCUGUGUCUGUUGGACUCUUUUGACUUGUACCUUUUAAUAGAAGUUUAUUUUAGUCAUUUAGAUUAGAAAUAAUCUCUUUUUCUUCCCUUUUCUCCUAACACAUUGUGUUCUCUGAAUAACCCUGUUACAUUGCAGGUAUGAAAGUUGCAGUCAUUACAUAUUGAAAUACCACUUCCAAGUACACAUUCCACUAACGUCAGCCAGCUGUCUUAAAAACUUAAGUAUGAAUAAAACAGAUUAUUUUAUCUAGUAUGGACAUAACCAUACUCUCACCCCUAAUUUUAGAACUGGGUGUUAUCACAUUGACAUUAUACUUACUUUGGGGAAUGACUGAAGGCUUCAUUGGAGAGUGUUGUCCAGUUGUUAAUACUUACAUGUUUUCUUAAUUGAACUUCUUUUUGUGAGUGUCUUUUUUUUUUUCUCUUUUUAGGGCCACACCUGUGGCAUAUGGAAGUUCCCAGGCUAGGGGCCCAGUGGAGCUGCAGCUGCAGGCCUACACCAUAGCCACAGUAAUGUGGGAUCUGAGCCGAGUCUGCAGCCUACAUCACAGCUCACAGCAAUGCUGGAUCCUUUAACCUACUAAGCAGGGCCAGGGAUCGAACCCGUGUCCUCAUGGAAACUAGUUGGAUUUGUUACCACUGAGCCACAGCGGCAACUCCAAAAUGAAAGAAAAUUUGAUUUGGGAAAGGACUGUGUAUUUUUCCUCAUUUCUUUUUUCUUUUUUCUUAAUACUAUUAGAAAAAAAUGUUUCUUCCAUGGUCUUUUCCUGUGCAUUUUUUCUUUUCCUUCUAUUUUCUGCUCAGCAAUCCUCACAUUAACUUCAUAACAUUUUUAAUGAAGAUGAUGGGAUGGUAAGUUACAAAAGAGGGGUAACUUUUUUUCCUCCUGUGUUCCACUGACGAACUCAUUGUUCUUUAUGAACCUUGUUUAGUCAUGUUCAACUUAUAGAUCACAGCUUUGCAGUUAGUUUCCUGAUCCUGUGGUUUAGGUAGGACUUUGGUAUGAAAAUAUUUGGUAAGAUAUUGAAAAACCUACCAGUGUUACUCAUUGGUUGGGAGUCUUAUAAGCAUGGCGUGGGACUUGAAUGUGUGGAUUUGUGAAAAAAAUGCUUUCAUAAUACUUAAGCCUUAUGCUGAUAGACUAGCUGAUGAAUAGUUGAUGGAAAUUCACUAUUAUGGAAUUCCCUUUAGGUUGUGAUUCUCCAGUUUGCCUUUCUUAAAGAACUGAAUGAUUUUGAAGGAAAACUGGUAACAAAAUAUUUUUAGUUCAGCCUAAGUGACCAUAUUCUGCACUGCUUCUUCAGUAAGGAUUAGGAAUUUAGUAUCAGCAAGCCUUAAUAGUACUUAAGUAGCUGCCAUUGAAAAACUGUCAAUGCCAGGACCUAGUCUAGAUAUGAUUGUUACAGUCUUUCUCUCUCUCUCUCUUUUUUUUUUUUUUUGGUCUUUUUUUGCCAUUUCUUGGGCCGCUCCCGCAACAUAUGGAGGUUCCCAGGCUAGGGGUCAAAUCAGAGCUGUAGCUGCCAGCCUACGCCAGAGCCACAGCAACGGGGGAUCCGAGCCGCGUCUGCAACCUACACCACAGCUCACGGCAACGCCGGAUCGUUAACCCACUGAGCAAGGGCAGGGACCGAACCCGCAACCUCAUGGUUCCUAUUCGGAUUCGUUAACCUCUGUGCCACGACGGGAACUCCCAGUCUCUCUUUUUUUUAUAGUGAUCAUACAAGGAUUUUAUAGAGGAAACAAAAACUUGGAGUUCAAACAAUUUAUCCGACAUAAUUUCUCUUGCGAAAGAUGUAACUGGGAUUCAGAUACAUCCCUUGCUAUGUCCCAUUUUAUCUUUUAAACCACGUAAUCAUCUUUGCUUCAGUUAUUAGUAUUAAUUGAGGUUUAUUUUCAAGGCAGGAAAGAAAUUCCAAUGGAGAGUUGAAUGCAUCUUUAUGUUACCUUUGAAUUUAUAGGGUUAGAGGUACGGUUACUUAACAAGUUGAGUGAAGAAAUCUGUAAAUGGCCAUUUACUUAGAAUGCUACUUUUAAGUCAAGAUUGAAAGCUGAGAUACUGUUUAAUGUUUAAAUGUUUUCUACAAAAUAUACAUUUGAUAUAAUAAUUACAUUUCAGCAACGUCUUUUCAGUUGAGUUGCUACAUUAUUGUGCUUUAAUAUUUAAAUUUUAUUUUAAUCUUUCCAGAUUUUAGUUAGCAUUUGAAAUUUGUAGUAUUCAAUAAAAGGAUUGUUGAAUUAUG